CGAGGCGGGCAGAUCACGAGGUCAGGAGUUCGAGACCAUCCUGGCUAACAUGGUGAAACCCCAUCUCUACUAAAAGUACAAAAAAUUAGCCAGGCGUGGUGGCGGGCGCCUGUAGUCCCAGCUACUCGGGAGGCUGAGGCAGGAGAAUGGAGUGAACCCAGGAGGCGGAGCUUGCAGUGAUAAAGGAGGCCAGGUGCGGUGACUCAUGCAUGCAGUCCCAGCAUUUUGGGAGGCUGAGGCAGGAGAAUCACUUGAGUCCAGGAGUUUAGUGAACACUGAAGGAAAAGGGAGGAUUUUGAGUGGAGAGGAAGACUAUGAGGCAGAGUGUGGAGAAGACUCCAAGAGUAAAUGCAGGAGUUAAUGGGGGAAGGGUGGGGAGGUGAGAGGGAAGAGGUAGAGGCUGUUCCUACAGAUACACACUUAACCUGCAGACUCUGCAGCUGAACUUCCGGGUUUAGAAUCUUGGUUCUGUUACUCAGUAGCCGUGACACUGCACAGGUUAUCUGACUCCUCAGCAGAGGUAUAGAUCCUGGAGUCAGAGUGUGUGACACUUGGAUCUGGGAAUGAAUAAGACCGUUCAUGGGGAAGUGCAUAGAAGGGUAAAAAGGAAAGAUCCCAGAGCAGACUGUUUAUUGAAGCAUAUGGAUUUUUCAGGAAGAAGAGGGUGACAUUAGAUGCCGGGCAGGUUCACAAGGGAAUGAAAAAGAGAAAACAGGAGGUUGAGGUUGGGGGUGGUAUUUCAGGAUUGGAGCUUUUAAGACUUAAGCACUUCCUGGAACGUUCUGAUGUCUCCUGCCACUCUGAUUCUGAAGCUCAUUCUCAAGCUUAUGGUCACUCAGGCACACAUCUGUAGCAAGAGCUUUGGAGCAAGUCACUCUGGGGACAUGCACUGAUAUCACUGUUAUAAAUUCAUCCGCUCUGGUCUUAACCUUCUAAAUGAAACCUGCCUGUUAUCCCCUGAACUCUUUCCAAGACAUGUCUCAGAACAUGGCCCCAUGGCCCCAGACACACAUGCUUAGCACUCAACUAAGUAUUGCGUUUCAUGGCAGUUCUCUUUACAGUAGCUAAGGUAUGAGGGUAUGAGUGGAAAGUGGUUGUUAUUUA
rnacentral:lncRNA from 1 species